rnacentral:rRNA from 1 species
GACGAACGCUGGCGGCGUGCUUAACACAUGCAAGUCGAACGGAAAGGCCCUGCUGUUGUUGGAUGCUCGAGUGGCGAACGGGUGAGUAACAAGUGAGUAACCUGCCCUUGACUUUGGUAUAACGUCAGGAAACUGGGGCUAAUACCGGAUAGGAGCUCCUGCUGCAUGGUGGGGGUUGGAAAGUUUCGGCGGUUGGGGAUGGACUCGCGGCUUCUCAGCUUGUUGGUGGGGUAGUGGCUUACCAAGGCUUUGACGGGUAGCCGGCCUGAGAGGGUGACAGGCCACAUGGGGGCUGAGAUACGGCCUAGACUCCUACGGGCGGCAGCAGUGGGGAAUAGUGGACAAUGGGCGGAACCGUGCUGCAGGAACGCCGCGUGCGGGAUGACGGCCUUCGGGUGGUAAACGGCUUUGGGCUGUGACGGAGCGUGAGUGACGGUAAUAGGUAACGAAGCACCGGGUAACUACGCG